UUUUUUUUUUUUUUUUUUUUUUUUUUUGGCAUCGGUGUUUCUGAAAAUGAAGAGCACCUGUCUGAAGGCGAAAAUGAGACAACUGUUUAAAGUAUCUUUUUUGUUUACUUCUUUCAUGAUGUGACAUCUUUUAUCUCCAUCCUUUCAUUUAAUUGUCCAAUCAACAAAUAUUUGAGCUAAUUAUGUGCUCGUUCUGUGCACAGAGCCAUGACCAUGGCAUACAGGGUCCAGCUUUUACGGAACGGAGUCUCCGUGAAACUUGGCUUCUUUACCUGACAUUGUUGCUGCCUCCUCACAGCCCAUGGGAGGAGGUUAAGGCAGUUGGAAGAACCCUGACGUUGGUAAUGGCUUCAGUUAUCUUUUGCUGCAUGACAAGCCACCAUAAGCUCUGUAACUUAAGACAACCACGACCACUUCUUUGCUCACAAUUCUGCAGUUUGGAAAGGGCACAGCUGGGCAGUUCUGCUUUCCCAGGAUGGCAGCUGGGGUCAGACACGGUGGCCUGUAGCUGUGAGUUUGGUCACUGAGGCCAGAAUAGCCAAGAUGCUACCCCCACAUCUGAUUCUUAGGCUGGGCCAGCUGAAGUGGCUGGCGGCCCCCUCUCUUCACGUGAUCGCUCAUCAUUCAGUGGGCCAGUCCCAGCCCCUUUAUGCUUUCUUUACAGCCUGGAUCCCAAGAAAGAGAAAGCAGAGGCUAUCAGGCCUGCGAAAGCCACGGUGUGGAAGCCCCAGAAGGUCACUUCCAUUUUAUUCUCCUGGCCAAAGCCCAUCACAGGGCCAGCCCAGAUCCGAGGGGCAGGAAAGAGACCACACUUCCGAAUGGAAGGAGCGCCUGGAAUGGGAGGAACUAUCAGCAGUCCUAUUGGGAAACACUCUAUCAUAUCCCACCUUCUGGCCAUGACACUUCACAUACACACACACACACACACACACCCUCCCCCCAAAUUAUCGUUCUGUGCAGCACUGGCUCUAAGGUCCAGGAUCUAAUGACACACACACUGGGCCCUAGGAGUGGCUGAGGCCUUUUAGAUG
rnacentral:lncRNA from 1 species